CACCGCGGUCAAACGAGGUUGUGCCCGAGCGGAUGACCAACGGCGUAAAGCGUGGUUAAGGAAACCCCCGACUAAAGCUGAACACCCACAGAGCCGUGAUACGCAUCCGACGACAUGAAACCCCACUACGAAAGUGGCUUUAACCCAACCUGAACCCACGACAGCUAGGACA
rnacentral:rRNA from 1 species